CAAAGUAAAAAAGGAAUAGGUGCUGUGUUACAGUCCUUAGGGAACUCUGUGAGCAAAAUUUGCUAAGACCUAUUGAAUAUUUCAAAUAAAAGAUCAAAAGGACACCAUAUUCACAGCACAUUAGGCUCAUAGCAGAGUCACUCGAUGCGUGCUUAUUUUUUUUUUCUUUCCUUUUGCAGAAAGCAUGCUCGCUUUUAAAUGAUCACUGUAUCACUGGGCUUUGGAUGUACAUCAUUCACAUUAUAUAGUGUAUCGGAAAAUAAAGUUUCUCUUCCGACACAUUUGUUCUCAGAAAUGGAGACUGUCCACUUAUUGUAGAUGGACAAAGGGGCUGAAUCACAGAAGGGUAUAAUUUCUAAGGAGAGAGCACUUCGCCACAGAGUAGGAGGAAGGGUAGAAAAUGUUUUCAUAAAAAGCGACUAUUAGGGACAAAUAAGGGCUCUAUUCACCAAACCUGUACAUAUCCCUUUAUCCUUGUAAAACAAGCUAUGAAAGCACAUAAUGACUAACUGCGGCAAAAUUACUCACAUCCUAACUUUGCAUAAUCGCUAAAAUGGUUCUGGUUUUUUAACCCUCCUCCUUCAACAAUUCUGCACUCUUAAAAAAAAGUUUUUUUUUUCAACCACAGCACAAAUGGUUAUAGCAAACGAGUGUACCAGGCACAUCUGCUGUUCCAGAAAGAAUCCACUCUCCUGUGCCAAAUCCACGUCUAUCGGAAGAAAUAAAAAUAAAUUGCGAGCAGGUUCAGCAAAUGCCCAGAUAAAUCCUGCAAUGACCACAUGGAGUAGAUGCAUUUCUGGUAGCUGGUGAUGCCUGAAAAGGGUGAGGCAACAGAGGAGCAAUCUGGAAGCAAAGGUUGCUCGCCCAUCAGUCUUUGUCACUCCCUCCCGGAGCGCGGAGCGGAGACAGCCACCGCCAACUGGAAAUCUGAGCAUGGCUUGUGGGAGAGAUCACCAUGACUUUGGCCCUGGUACCUGGUGACUGAGCUCUAUGGAACAGCAAAGAGAUGGUGACUAGGCCAAGAGCAAGGUAUCCACACCACUUCUGAUACCCUUUAUCAGCUGAGAUGCAAAUGGCUAACAGAGCUCAAUCGUUCUGGACAAUCUCUUCUUCCAGAAGAACCUCCUUCCGAUGGUAAAAUGAAGAGUAAUUUUAUCCUGUUGUUGUUGUUGUUUGUUUUUGUUUUUAGAAUUGCAAAAUAUGAAACAAUAAGAAAUUCCAGGACAAACAUUCUCAGGGACCCAAUUUCCCAAUUUUAAUUUGGGCCAAGGUCUGAAAGUCCUGGGCCAAACAAAUGUGCUUCUGUUGGUCUCAAUUUCCUCUUUAUAAGCAAGGGGAUAUGACUGGGAAUUUUUAAACAUCCCUGGUAGCAGGGCUGACUGGGUGGCUCAGUUGGUUAAGUGUCCAACUUCGGCUCAGGUUACAGUCUCAUGGUUCCUGAGUUCAAGCCCCAAGUCAGACUCUGUACUGACAGCUCGGAGACUGGAACUUGCUUCAGAUUCUGUGUCUGCCAUUCUCUCUGUCUCUCUCCCUCUUGCACUCUCUCUCUGUCACUCUCUCAAAAAUAAAUAAACAUUAAAAAAAUUAAAAAAAAACCCACAUUUCUGGUAGCUUAAAACAUCUAAGAAACACCUUUGAUUUCAGACAAAGUCUGAUACCCGAGGUCCUUUGGAAUGGUAUAUAAACUAAGAUCCUUCUCAUUCUGACACUAUUUUCGAUUCAUUUUUGUUAAUCUCAAGAUCUAUAUAUGCUGCAGAAUGUUAUUUAUGUUAUAUCUGGUAUUUACAUAAAAAUAACAGGUUAUAAACUUUUACAUAUAGCAUGAUUAAAAUCCAAUAUCUAAUUGAGAAAAAAAACCUGAAUUGCUAUAGUUAUUAGAAAUAUAGAUAUUUUGCUCUUUUUUCUUCCUUCAUUUUAUGAAAGCAUUAUAUUUGCAUUUAAAAUGAAAUAGCUUUAUUUACAGAGAAAAACAAUGAUAUCUCCAAACAUCUUUUCCUUUCAAAGAACACACUGCAUCAUCCCAAACCACCCUAAAGCAAAGAAAUAUGAUAUCAGUUGCCUUACAUACAUGACUUUGGAAUUUCUUUUUGAAAAAUGGUGUCAUUCAUGGAGUCAUUGACCAUUAACUGACCACCUUCUAAAUACCAGAAAUUUUGCCAACUUCUUGGGUAACAAGUUAUGGUUCCUAGCCUCAAUGAAUUCAACUAUACUUGGGUGAAACAGGAAGAAAACCAGUGGAAACUUCUCAGAUUCCCAGAAGUCUGACAAACUCUACUUGGAAUAUAGUGUUCUACAGCAACCCAUUCAUUUUUUUAAACAUAGAACUGAGUUCCAGCCAGACAAAGAACACUGGUUUGAAAAGGUCUAGAAGCAGGGUUCCCCUCUCUGCUCUAACUACUGGAUGACAUUACGUAAGCUCCUGUCUUUUCUGUUGCUCAGCUCCUUCACCUUCAAGGUGCUGGCUAAAAAGGCUUUUUUUACAUUUCCCACGGGCAGCUGAAUUCAAACAUCUUCCUCUGGCCUGCUAUUUCCUAUCUCCCUUGUAUCUCAGAUGAAUGUCAUCACCUAGGUAAUUCUUGUUGCACUCUCAAGUUAGAGAACUGUUGUUCUAAACUACAUAAACUCAAGAACAGGAACCAUGUUCUAAUAUUCAUUAUUCAUCCUUUCAUUUAGAAUAUGGUAGCACAAAGAUUAAGCUACAAUAGGCUAUCAAAACAUCAUUGAGGAAUGAAUGCAUUAAUGAAUGACUAUAUUCAAGUAUGAGGUUAUCCCCCAUUUCCUUAAUUUUCUUUAUUUAGUCUCUGCCUGUGUGAGCCCUUGUGGAUUCUGGGAUGAUUGGCAUUAUAGAAAUAUAAAGAACAUGAUAAGCAGCUUCAACAAUAUCAUUAUUUGGUGAGAAUGGAGGAAAUCGCAUUUAAAAAAAAUGAAAAAACAAAACAAAACAAAACAAAACACCAAUGAUCUCAGGCAUCAAAGGUGCAAUCUAUGGGGCUAGUCAUUUUAUUUCUAGAUUUCUUCACUCAAUACCCUCAGCAGUUAAAAAACAAGACAAAACAAAAAGGCAGCAAAACGUACAAUUUCCCAGGGGCACCAUUCAUAGAUGGUACACAACAGAACUACUCAAGAAGAUAUUUUACUAUUAUAAA